GAUGAACGCUGGCGGCGUGCCUAAUACAUGCAAGUCGAGCGAACAGACGAGGAGCUUGCUCCUCUGACGUUAGCGGCGGACGGGUGAGUAACACGUGGAUAACCUACCUAUAAGACUGGGAUAACUUCGGGAAACCGGAGCUAAUACCGGAUAAUAUAUUGAACCGCAUGGUUCAAUAGUGAAAGACGGUUUUGCUGUCACUUAUAGAUGGAUCCGCGCCGCAUUAGCUAGUUGGUAAGGUAACGGCUUACCAAGGCAACGAUGCGUAGCCGACCUGAGAGGGUGAUCGGCCACACUGGAACUGAGCCACGGUCCAGACUCCUACGGGAGGCAGCAGUAGGGAAUCUUUCGCAAUGGGCGAAAGCCUGACGGAGCAACGCCGCGUGAGUGAUGAAGGUCUUCGGAUCGUAAAACUCUGUUAUUAGGGAAGAACAAAUGUGUAAGUAACUAUGCACGUCUUGACGGUACCUAAUCAGAAAGCCACGGCUAACUACGUG
rnacentral:rRNA from 1 species